AACGAACGCUGGCGGCAUGCCUAACACAUGCAAGUCGAACGAGACCUUCGGGUCUAGUGGCGCACGGGUGCGUAACGCGUGGGAACCUGCCCUUAGGUUCGGAAUAACUCCCCGAAAGGGGUGCUAAUACCGGAUAAUGUCUUCGGACCAAAGAUUUAUCGCCUUUGGAUGGGCCCGCGUUGGAUUAGCUAGUUGGUAGGGUAAAAGCCUACCAAGGCGACGAUCCAUAGCUGGUCUGAGAGGAUGAUCAGCCACACUGGGACUGAGACACGGCCCAGACUCCUCCGGGGGGCAGCGGGGGGGAAUUUUGGACAGUGGGCGAAAGCCUGAUCCAGCAAUGCCGGGUGAGUGAUGAAGGCCUUAGGGUUGUAAAGCUCUUUUACCCGGGAUGAUAAUGCCCGUCCCGGGAGAAUAAGCCCCGGCUACCUCCGU
rnacentral:rRNA from 1 species